rnacentral:rRNA from 1 species
UAACGGUCCUAAGGUAGCGAAAUUCCUUGUCGGGUAAGUUCCGACCCGCACGAAUGGCGUAACGAUGGCCACACUGUCUCCUCUCGGGACUCAGCGAAGUUGAAAUGUUUGUGAAGAUGCAAUCUACCCGCGGCUAGACGGAAAGACCCCAUGAACCUUUACUGUAGCUUUACAUUGGACUUUGACAAGAUUUGUGUAGGAUAGGUGGGAGACGUUGAAGCGGAGUCGCUAGAUUUCGUGGAGUCAACCUUGAAAUACCACCCUGAUGUUGUUGAGGUUCUAACCUAGGUCCAUAAUCUGGACUGGGGACCGUGUAUGGUGGGCAGUUUGACUGGGGCGGUCUCCUCCCAAAGAGUAACGGAGGAGUGCGAAGGUAACCUAGGUACGGUCGGAAAUCGUACUGAUAGUGCAAUGGCAUAAGGUUGCUUGACUGCGAGACGGACAGGUCGAGCAGGUGCGAAAGCAGGUCAUAGUGAUCCGGUGGUUCUGUAUGGAAGGGCCAUCGCUCAACGGAUAAAAGGUACUCUGGGGAUAACAGGCUGAUUCCUCCCAAGAGUUCAUAUCGACGGGGGAGUUUGGCACCUCGAUGUCGGCUCAUCACAUCCUGGGGCUGUAGCCGGUCCCAAGGGUAUGGCUGUUCGCCAUUUAAAGUGGUACGUGAGCUGGGUUUAAAACGUCGUGAGACAGUUUGGUCCCUAUCUGCCGUGGGCGCUGCAAGUUUGAGGGGACCUGCUCCUAGUACGAGAGGACCGGAGUGGACACACCGCUGGUGGACCAGUUAUCAUGCCAAUGGUAUCGCUGGGUAGCUAAGUGUGGAAGAGAUAAACGCUGAAAGCAUCUAAGCGUGAAACUCGCCUCAAGAUGAGACUUGCCGGGGGUUUAACCCCCCUAAAGGGUCGUUCGAGACCAGGACGUUGAUAGGUCAGGUGUGGAAGCGCAGUAAUGCGUUAAGCUAACUGAUACUAAUUGCCCGUGAGGCUUGAUCCU